CAGCCGCCACGGUAAUACGUAGGUCCCGAGCGUUGUCCGGAUUUAUUGGGCGUAAAGCGAGCGCAGGCGGUUAGAUAAGUCUGAAGUGAAAGGCAGCGGCUCAACCAUUGUAGGCUUUGGAAACUGUUUAACUUGAGUGCAGAAGGGGAGAGUGGAAUUCCAUGUGUAGCGGUGAAAUGCGUAGAUAUACGGAGGAACACCGGUGGCGAAAGCGGCUCUCUGGUCUGUAACUGACGCUGAGGCUCGAAAGCGUGGGGAGCGAACAGGAUUAGAUACCCCUGUAGUCCCUGUCUCUUAUACA
rnacentral:rRNA from 1 species